AGGAGCAGUAGAGACCUCGUCUGUUCAUUAUAUACAUCUACAUGAUGUAUUGAUACACCAUGAAGGAGCAGUAUAGACCUAGUCUGUUCAUUAUAUACAUCUACAUGAUGUAUUGUUACACCAUGUAGGAGCAGCAUAGACCUACACUAGCUAGCUACUUAUUUAGAUUUAGUUUGACUUAAUGAAACUUCCUUAAAUGUGCUGUAGUAAACAUUGUUAUAUUCGCACUAAUCAAACAACACAUUCAAGUCUUUUGUAUGUCUCAAUAUAAUAGUAUUAUUUAAUUAAAUCAAUUUAAAAAUAAUCUUUGUCUGAAAAUAAAAUAUGAUCGUCAACUGCGUUUCCCCUCCAGUCAGCAGACGGCGAUGUGUGUCUAUAAUCUAGUGGACGGUUCUUCAGAAACCUCCGUAGCUUGCUAGCCAACAUAGCCGAAAGAUUCAAGCUAUUUAUACGCUUUCGAUGUAUAUUAGCUACUGUGUUUUAGACACACUUCUGUCGUAUCUACUUGUUAACCUAUUUAAUAUUACGUUAUUUUGUAUUAGUCAGCUAUAGUAGCUGGCUGGUUAAGUUAGCACUAGCCUAGUCGCUAAUGAUAGCUAGCUAACACCCCCCGACCAUGAGCUCUCUAAACUGCUGGACGGAGAAAGAAGCUCAGGGGCUGAACAUUGUUGUGAAAAAGUUGGAGGAGGAGGAUGUCACAGUAAAACAAGUGGAGGGUGAGGUUGUUCCAGUGGAAGAAGAAGAGAAAGACGAAAGAAGAGGAAGAUGCUGAUUUUGGAGUGAAGAAUGAUGGGGAGAUUACUGUCACAUUGAAAGAUGAAGAGGUGGAGAUAGGAGAUCUGAUUCACACCAGGGCAGUCAAGAAAUGGAACAGCAAGACCACAGAACAUAACAUAAGCAGAGCUGUGGGAGACCACCUCAAGCCCCUGGAGGAGCUCUGAAAGACACUAUGGGGGUGUCCACGGAAGGUUGACUAGUAACAACAACUGGGACCUAAAAGACACCCACCAUGAGACCCACUAGAAUCUGCCCAAGAAGAGGCAAACAAAAGAAAAACCCACACCAAACUUAAAGAAAGGAAGCAAACCAAAAAGUGGAGCUACUAAAGGUGUUGACUCUCCACAUCUAUCAAGACAACUGGAGCACUGGGCCAGACCCUCUUAAAUAGAACCUGGACCUGCUCACCACCAGUUAACUGAAUGGUGAGGCAUGGAAUAAUAAAACAUGUAUCUUUUGUCAGGCUGAUUGUUUGAAAUAUGAGGUGAUUUGAAACGUGCUUCUUCAGUUGUGGAAUAAAGACAAUUAGCACUUGAAUGUUGUCAAGAAAUGCUGGAGUGAUGUAGGAUUGUCAAUGUCAAAACAAAACACAGGUUUAACGUUUCCAAAUCAAUAACCAAUAUGUAGAAACAGUUUGGGAUAUAUUGAAAACCUAAACAUUUUGAAGUGUUGCAUUUUGAUUCAAGUGGGUCACCAACAUGUUAAAUGUAACAGAACUCUUUUUUUGUUAGUCACUUUUUGAUAAAUCUCAUAAAUAGUACUCUUUAAAUUCAGAGCCUGGAUUUUUUUCUCCCAGAGGCUAAUAUCCAUCUCAAGCUGAAAUCAAUAGAACAGGGGACAAACGUUUAGGGUUCUACAUUGUGACAUCAUUAAAAUACUCCUAAUACAAUGUUAAAACAUUCUACAUUGUGACAUUAAUUCAUUGAUAUUUCAUUGGGGCGGCAGGGUAGCCAAGUGGAUAGA